rnacentral:rRNA from 1 species
GGGUUGUGAGGUUAAGCGACUAAGCGUACACGGUGGAUGCCCUGGCAGUCAGAGGCGAUGAAGGGCGUGCUAAUCUGCGAUAAGCGCCGGUAAGGUGAUAUGAACCGUUAUAACCGGCGAUACCCGAAUGGGGAAACCCAGUGUGAUUCGUCACACUAUCAUUAACUGAAUCCAUAGGUUAAUGAGGCGAACCGGGGGAACUGAAACAUCUAAGUACCCCGAGGAAAAGAAAUCAACCGAGAUUCCCCCAGUAGCGGCGAGCGAACGGGGAGGAGCCCAGAGCCUGAAUCAGCAUGUGUGUUAGUGGAAGCGUCUGGAAAGGCGCGCGAUACAGGGUGACAGCCCCGUACACAAAAGCGCAUGUGUUGUGAGCUCGAUGAGUAGGGCGGGACACGUGGUAUCCUGUCUGAAUAUGGGGGGACCAUCCUCCAAGGCUAAAUACUCCUGACUGACCGAUAGUGAACCAGUACCGUGAGGGAAAGGCGAAAAGAACCCCGGCGAGGGGAGUGAAAAAGAACCUGAAACCGUGUACGUACAAGCAGUGGGAGCACCCUUUGGGGUGUGACUGCGUACCUUUUGUAUAAUGGGUCAGCGACUUAUAUUCUGUAGCAAGGUUAACCGAAUAGGGGAGCCGGAGGGAAACCGAGUCUUAA